AUACGGAGGGUGCAAGCGUUACUCGGAAUCACUGGGCGUAAAGCGCGCGCAGGCGGGCUGAUAAGUUGGAUGUGAAAGCCUACGGCUCAACCGUAGAACUGCAUCCAAAACUAUUAGACUAGAGUGUGGGAGAGGAAGAUGGAAUUAGUUGUGUAGGGGUAAAAUCCGUAGAGAUAACUAGGAAUACCAAAAGCGAAGGCAAUCUUCUGGAACACUACUGACGCUGAGGCGCGAAAGCGUGGGGAGCAAACAGGAUUAGAAACCCUAGUAGUCC
rnacentral:rRNA from 1 species